UACAGAGGGUGCAAGCGUUAAUCGGAAUUACUGGGCGUAAAGCGCGCGUAGGUGGUUUGUUAAGUUGAAUGUGAAAUCCCCGGGCUCAACCUGGGAACUGCAUCCAAAACUGGCAAGCUAGAGUAGGGCAGAGGGUGGUGGAAUUUCCUGUGUAGCGGUGAAAUGCGUAGAUAUAGGAAGGAACACCAGUGGCGAAGGCGACCACCUGGGCUCAUACUGACACUGAGGUGCGAAAGCGUGGGGAGCAAACAGG
rnacentral:rRNA from 3 species